AUGUUUGAUUUAAGGAGAGAUGGUUGACAUCUCCCUCGACAAGGUUGGGAAUAGCCCUUGUGCUUCCCUGCUAACAUAUGCGUUAAGGCUACUCACUUCUCACAGGUGGAUCUAUAAUAAUAUCUUAU